ACCCUAACCAUUACCAACCCAGCAACCCUAACUCACUCCAACGGCGCAGCAGCAGCACACACUCCCUCCCUCCCAUCAAUCUCGAGCUCGUCGUUCCUCUCAACGCCAGCUCACUCACUCCUCACUUCUCGUUCAGUCGCCGGACUGCUCUUGCCGCGUCACAAGUUGGAGCUUCAAAGCUCACUCCCUCACUCUUGCUCGUGCAGCUAACGAUUCGGCAGUGGAAGCACAGUCGUUGGGCUCGCCUCCUGCCUCCGUCGCGAAGCUCUGUUCCACCGUCACCAGCGCCAUCUCUGUUCCACCGAUGGUGUUGUGAUCAAUAUGGUUGUUGGUGGGGAAGUGGUCGAAAGCAAAGCAGUUUUCAUUGCUGAAAAAGCUUGAACUAGAGAAUCUAAAACUGGAACCAAGAUCAAGGAGCUUAGUUUGCUGGAAAGCAUCAAGAGCAACCCAUCAGAAAGUAAUCAUAUUUUUUAUGAUCUAAAUUUAAUGUUAGAAUUCAUAGAUGAACCUUUUUUCUUUGAAGUAAAUAAAAAUAAUAAUAUUUUCUCCACUAUCAAGAAUAUAUUCAAACUUUUCAGGUGAGACUGUUAACUAGAAAUAUAGCAGUGUUAAUGCAUAUGUUUGUAGUUUUUAUCCUUCAGUUCAUAUGUUGUGAUUGUGUUGAUUUUUUUUGUUAUUUUGACUUCUGAGUUUAUAUUUGAAUGAGAUCAUAAUAUUAUGGUUCAAUGUGAUUAUUUA